UCCGUAGGCGGGCGUCUAAGUCAGUGGUGAAAUCUUACAGCUCAACUGUAAAAUUGCCAUUGAUACUGGAUGUCUUGAAUUAGUGUGAAGUGGUUAGAAUGUGUAGUGUAGCGGUGAAAUGCAUAGAUAUUACACAGAAUACCAAUUGCGAAGGCAGGUCACUAACACUAUAUUGACGCUGAGGGACGAAAGCGUGGGGAGCGAACAGGAUUAGAUACCCUGGUAGUC
rnacentral:rRNA from 1 species